rnacentral:Y_RNA from 1 species
GGUUGGUCCCAGUGCAGUGUGUUCACAACUAAUUGGUCACAACCAGUUGCAGAUUCCUUUGUUCCUUCUCAACUCCCACUGUUUCACUUGAUCAGAAAA